rnacentral:rRNA from 1 species
CCAAUCGGGUGGUAWAUUCCGUCCAAGGCUAAAUAUUGGCGAGAGACCGAUAGCAAACAAGUACCGCGAGGGAAAGAUGAAAAGGACUUUGAGAAAAGAGUCAAAGAGUACUUGAAAUUGUCGGGAGGGAAGCGGAUGGGGGCCGGCGGUGCGUCCCGGUCGGAUGUGGAACGGCUAGUAGCCGGUCUGCCGAUCGACUCGGGGCGUGGACCGACGCGGAUUGGGGCGGCGUCGCAAGCCCGAGCCUUUGUUGUGCUCGCGGAGACGUCGUCGCCUCGAUCGUGGAUGGCAGCGCGCGCCAACGGCGUGCUUCGGCAUCAGCGUGCUCCAGGCGUCGGCCUGCGGGCUCCCCAUUCGGCCCGUCUUGAAACACGGACCAAGGAGUCUGACAUGUGUGCGAGUCAACGGGCCAGAAAACCCGUGAGGCGCAAGGAAGCUGACUGGCGGGAUCCCCUUGAGGGUUGCACCGCCGACCGACCUAGAUCUUCUGAGAAGGGUUCGAGUGUGAGCAUGCCUGUCGGGACCCGAAAGAUGGUGAACUAUGCCUGAGCGG